GCCGCAGCAGAUUCUGCAUGAUGCGUUGCACGCGGUCAUCGGGCCCAUGGGGACGGCUCCAGUGUGACCACGGCAGAAUGUGGCCCGGCGGUGACGAGAGCCCUUGAGACCAGAAGAUCGUCGCGGCAUUGAACACGAUGUUUUGCUUCGGGCCCGGGUAAAUUGUCGACGUCCAGUGUCCCGGCGUGAUGCCGCUGCGCCAACUUGUGCCUUCCGCGACCACUUCCAGC
rnacentral:misc_RNA from 1 species